rnacentral:SRP_RNA from 1 species
UGCGGCCCCUCAUGUGGUGCCAUCCUGCUGAACUCCCCCAGGACCGGAAGGUAGCAAGGGUAAGUGGGCUCUGGUAGGUGCAUGAGGGGCUUUACUA